rnacentral:rRNA from 1 species
GUAGGUGGCAAGCGUUGUCCGGAAUUAUUGGGCGUAAAGCGCGCGCAGGCGGUCCUUUAAGUCUGAUGUGAAAGCCCACGGCUCAACCGUGGAGGGUCAUUGGAAACUGGGGGACUUGAGUACAGAAGAGGAAAGCGGAAUUCCAAGUGUAGCGGUGAAAUGCGUAGAGAUUUGGAGGAACACCAGUGGCGAAGGCGGCUUUCUGGUCUGUAACUGACGCUGAGGCGCGAAAGCGUGGGGAGCAAACAGGAUUAGAUACCCUGGUAGUCCACGCCGUAAACGAUGAGUGCUAAGUGUUAGGGGGUUUCCCGCCCCCUUAGUGCUGCAGCUAACGCAUUAAGCACUCCGCUGGGGAGUACGGCCGCAAGGCUG